rnacentral:lncRNA from 12 species
UAGAAAUUCCCUGAGGUGCCUCAACACCUCUGCUGUGCCCUGAGAAGCUCCAGCACCUGGGAUGGGUAUCCUGGGUUAUCCCACAUCCACAAUGCCUGGGGGACAGAGCCAGGGCAGCAAAUGCUGUUGCUCUCAAUUAUCUUAACUUUCCUUGCCUU